GCGAUCGAUUUGAUCGUGAUUUGGUCGAGAAUAUUGAUGAUUAGAGACUCUCAAUCAAGAAGGUUAAAGCUUUUGUAUCGUCUGGAGGAUCAUCUUCUUGGCACAUAUCAAAAUGUCUCAAAGUGAAAAAGCAUCCAAUAGAGUUGGAACUCCAAGCUGCAGUCAACCAAUUUCCCAACAGCCAGAACAAGAAGAUCAAAGUGUUGCUUCAACAAUUGCUUCAAC